rnacentral:rRNA from 1 species
AUCAGGUGGGACUACCCGCUGAACUUAAGCAUAUCAAUAAGC